rnacentral:misc_RNA from 1 species
UUUCCGUAGGUGAACCUGCGGAAGGAUCAUUAUUGGAUUUUGAAACUUCAGGCUGCUGCUGGCUCUCCUCGGAGGGCAUGUGCACGCUUGUUGUCCAUUAUUUCUCCCACUGUGCACAAAUUGUAGACCUUUCAGUAGGCCUAUGUUGUUUUUCAAAAUCUCUGAAUGUAAUAGAAUGGUUUUGAAUCUUGGGAAAUACAAUACAACUUUCAGCAACGGAUCUCUUGGCUCUC